rnacentral:lncRNA from 1 species
CCUCACUGCUGCACUGGUGGUCUGAUGAAGGAUUUCAGUUUUUUAGUGGGAUCUGAAAGUUGGGUUGCAAUAAUUAUUUCUCAUUUCUGGUUUGGUGUAUGAACUAGAAAUUGCAAUAGCAGUUUUUACACAGCUCUUUUUCAAACUGGCUGCAUAAACAGAAAUAAAUUAAGGCUUUCAAGUCUCCUCUGGGAACGCAAUAAAUAUUACCCUGUUUUCCAAAAGGAGGAAACAGAACAGCAAACACAUUAACGUGGUAUCUCCAAGGUUAACCAGUUGGCAGAACUGGGAGUAACUCCUGCUCGUAUCGUCCUUAUUGGUCACUUGUUUAAGUGUUAUUUAGGGGUCGGACCAUGCAGAGCAGGUGAAAACAUCCCUGCAUGGAUCCGAGGGUCGGGGAUGGAGAUGCUCAGGACAAGAGAUGCAGCCGAGAGUCCGGAGUAUGAGAGAACUCAGGAUGAGCUUAUUUUGGUUUGCUCUCUGAAGGCAGAUCUCUUGCUCAUGUCCUGCCUUUCAGCACAGAGUGCUCCUGAUGGAUGCUUGGAGUGCAGGGAGUUUGCUGCUUAUUGAUAUCAAGGCUGAGCUGCCUCUCCUCCUGAACCAUGUGCCCUCCAGCUCCAACACGCAGCUUUCCCAGGCUCUGGCUCCUUGCCAUGCUUUCUCUGGAAAAAAACCUGCAUUUUGUCUCAUGCAGGGAGGGGACUAUUUUAUCAGACCGUUAGUGAGCAUGUCCUUGGCUCCCCCGGGUCUUUUUGCAACAACCAGUGUAACAAUGUCCUGUGUGACAUAUCCUCAGUGUUUAUAUCAAAAAUACAGAAAUAAUAAUUUAAUCCCGCUUUGUCGAGUUUUUUGGUUUCAUCUUUCUUUGCAUUGA